GAUGAGCAUGCGUCCCAUUAGCUAGUUGGUAAGGUAACGGCUUACCAAGGCUACGAUGGGUAGGGGUCCUGAGAGGGAGAUCCCCCACACUGGUACUGAGACACGGACCAGACUCCUACGGGAGGCAGCAGUGAGGAAUAUUGGACAAUGGGCGCAAGCCUGAUCCAGCCAUGCCGCGUGCAGGAUGACGGUCCUAUGGAUUGUAAACUGCUUUUAUACGAGAAGAAACACUCCGACGUGUCGGAGCUUGACGGUAUCGUAAGAAUAAGGAUCGGCUAACUCCGUGCCAGCAGCCGCGGUAAUACGGAGGAUCCAAGCGUUAUCCGGAAUCAUUGGGUUUAAAGGGUCCGUAGGCGGUUUAAUAAGUCAGUGGUGAAAGCCCGUCGCUCAACGGUGGAACGGCCAUUGAUACUGUUAAACUUGAAUUAUUAGGAAGUAACUAGAAUAUGUAGUGUAGCGGUGAAAUGCUUAGAGAUUACAUGGAAUACCAAUUGCGAAGGCAGGUUACUACUAAUGGAUUGACGCUGAUGGA
rnacentral:rRNA from 1 species